rnacentral:rRNA from 1 species
AGCUUAACUCUGGAACUGCCAUCAAAACUUUUUAGCUAGAGUAUGAUAGAGGAAAGCAGAAUUUCUAGUGUAGAGGUGAAAUUCGUAGAUAUUAGAAAGAAUACCAAUUGCGAAGGCAGCUUUCUGGAUCAUUACUGACGCUGAGGAACGAAAGCAUGGGUAGCGAAGAGGAUUAGAUACCCUCGUAGUCCAUGCCGUAAACGAUGUGUGUUAGACGUUGGAAAUUUUAUUUUCAGUGUCGCAGCGAAAGCAUUAAACACACCGCCUGGGGAGUACGACCGCAAGGUUAAAACUCAAAUGAAUUGACGGGGACCCGCACAAGUAGUGGAGCAUGUGGUUUAAUUCGAAGAUACGCGCAGAACCUUACCAACACUUGACAUGUUCGUCGCGACUCUGAGAGAUUAGAGUUUUCGGUUCGGCCGGACGAAACACAGGUGCUGCAUGGCUGUCGUCAGCUCGUGUCGUGAGAUGUUGGGUUAAGUCCCGCAACGAACGCAACCCUCACUUUUAGUUGCCAUCAUUUGGUUGGGCACUCUGAAAGAACUGCCAGUGAUAAGCUGGAGGAAGGUGGGGAUGACGUCAAGUCCUCAUGGCCCUUACGUGUUGGGCUACACACGUGCUACAAUGGCAUUUACAAUAGGAAGCAAGGUGGCGACAUCAAGCAAAUCCUAAAAAGAUGCCUCAGUUCGGGUUGUACUCUGCAACUCGAGUACAUGAAGCUGGAAUUACUAGUAAUCGCGGAUCAGCGCGCCGCGGUGAAUACGUUCCCGGGUCUUGUACACACCGCCCGUCACACCAUGGGAGUUGGUUCUACCUUAAGGCAAGGUUUUAAACCCUUGACUACGGUAUAGUCAGCGACUGGGGUGAAGUCGUAACAAGGUAACCGUA